rnacentral:rRNA from 1 species
AAGACCUUGCGCUUUUGGAGCGGCCGAUGUCUGAUUAGCUUGUUGGUAAGGUAAAAGCUUACCAAGGCUUCGAUCAGUAGCUGGUCUGAGAGGACGACCAGCCACACUGGGACUGAGACACGGCCCAGACUCCUACGGGAGGCAGCAGUGGGGAAUUUUGGACAAUGGGGGCAACCCUGAUCCAGCCAUGCCGCGUGAGUGAAGAAGGCCUUCGGGUUGUAAAGCUCUUUCAGCCGGAACGAAACGGUUACGGAUAACACCCGUGACUACUGACGGUACCGGAAGAAGAAGCACCGGCUAACUACGUGCCAGCAGCCGCGGUAAUACGUAGGGUGCGAGCGUUAAUCGGAAUUACUGGGCGUAAAGCGUGCGCAGGUGGUUUUGUAAGUCAGAUGUGAAAGCCCCGGGCUCAACCUGGGAACU